rnacentral:rRNA from 1 species
GAUGAACGCUAGCUACAGGCUUAACACAUGCAAGUCGAGGGGCAGCAUGAAAGGAACUUCGGUUCUUUUUGAUGGCGACCGGCGCACGGGUGCGUAACGCGUAUCGAACCUGCCUCAUACUCGGGGAUAGCCUUGCGAAAGUAAGAUUAAUAUCCGAUGGUAUAUUAAAACCGCAUGGUUUUACUAUUAAAGAAUUUCGGUUAUCGAUGGGGAUGCGUUCCAUUAGUUUGUUGGCGGGGUAACGGCCCACCAAGACAACGAUGGAUAGGGGUUCUGAGAGGAAGGUCCCCCACAUUGGAACUGAGACACGGUCCAA